ACCAUUUCACAGCCUUUUGGCUUAGAUCAAGUGUAGUAUCUGUUCUUUUCAGUUUAAUAUCUGAAACGGUCUUCUGGGACCUUCUUAUGUUAAUCUUAUUUUUGAACUCCGGGAAUUGGCCUCUGUGCUUGCAUAUGUUGAUACCCACUGUGUCACUAGUAUUGUACUGCCUCCAGUUGACGCGACUUUUC
rnacentral:snRNA from 1 species